rnacentral:rRNA from 1 species
UUAGUUUACUAUUGGAGCGGUUAGUGGCGGACUGGUGAGUAACACGUAAGCAACCUGCCUAUCAGAGGGGAACAACAGUUAGAAAUGACUGCUAAUACCGCAUAUGCCUUAGAAUCACAUGGUUCAAAAGGGAAAGGAGCAAUCCGCUGAUAGAUGGGCUUGCGUCUGAUUAGCUAGUUGGUGGGGUAAUGGCCUACCAAGGCGACGAUCAGUAGCCGAACUGAGAGGUUGAACGGCCACAUUGGGACUGAGAUACGGCCCAGACUCC